GAUGAACGCUGGCGGCGUGCCUAAUACAUGCAAGUCGAGCGAACAGACGAGGAGCUUGCUCCUCUGACGUUAGCGGCGGACGGGUGAGUAACACGUGGAUAACCUACCUAUAAGACUGGGAUAACUUCGGGAAACCGGAGCUAAUACCGGAUAAUAUAUUGAACCGCAUGGUUCAAUAGUGAAAGACGGUUUUGCUGUCACUUAUAGAUGGAUCCGCGCCGCAUUAGCUAGUUGGUAAGGUAACGGCUUACCAAGGCAACGAUGCGUAGCCGACCUGAGAGGGGGAUCGGCCACCCUGGAACUGAGACACGGUCCAGACUCCUACGGGAGGCAGCAGUAGGGAAUCUUCCGCAAUGGGCGAAAGCCUGACGGAGCAACGCCGCGUGAGUUAUGAAGGUCUUCGGAUCGUAAAACUCUGUUAUUAGGGGAGAACAAAUGUGUAAGUAACUAUGCACGUCUUGACGGUACCUAAUCAGAAAGCCACGGCUAACUACGUG
rnacentral:rRNA from 1 species